rnacentral:rRNA from 1 species
GGUGAACGUUGGCGGUGUGUCUAAUACAUGCAAGUCGAGCGAGGCGUCGAGCCGAGUGGCAGACGGCCGUGUAACACGUUCGUAACUAUCUCAAAUUCAGGGAUAACGUCGAGAACUCGGUGCUAAUACCGGAUGGUCCCGUAAGGGUGAAGAUUUUACGGAUUGAGAGGUGCCUGCGACGUAUCAGGUAGUUGGUGAGGUAAAGGCGAACCAAGCCUAUGACGGGUAACUUGUCUAAGAGGAUGACCAGUCAGAGGCAAACUGAGACACGAAUCUCACUUCUACGGCAGGCAGCAAUAAAGUAACUGACAAACUGGACGAAAGUCAGAUAGAGCUACACCUCGUGAAAGAUGAAGACCCUUGAGUCGUAAACUGCUUUUUUGCGGGAAACAUUCUGAUUGUACCCUAAGAAUAAGCACCGGCAAAUCACGUG